AAUGAACGCUGGCGGCGUGCCUAAUACAUGCAAGUCGAGCGACAACACGAGAAGCUUGCUCCCUUCACGUUGGCGGCGGGCGGGUGAGUAACACGUAGAUAACCAACCUAUAAGACUGGGGGAACUACGGGAAACCGGAUCCAAUACCGGAUAAUAUGAUGAACGGCAUGGAUCAAUAGAGAAUGACGGUUUUGCUGUCACUAUUAGAUGGUUCCGUGUCGGAUUAGCUAGUUGGUAAGGUAACGGCUCACCAAGGCGACGAUGCGUAGCCGACCUGAGAGGAUGAUCAGCCACACUGGAACUGAGACACGGUCCAGACUCCUACGGGAGGCAGCAGUGGGGAAUCUUGGACAAUGGGCGAAAGCCUGAUGCAGCAACGCCGCGUGAGUGAUGAAGGUCUUCGGGUUGUAAAACUCUGUUGUUAGGAAAGAAAAGAUGUGUAAUAAAAUAUGCACGUCUUGACGGUACCUAAAGAAAAAGCACCGGCUAACUACGUG
rnacentral:rRNA from 1 species